AUGGCGUCUCCCUCUAAAAUCAAUCGUACCACACUCGUUUCCUUACUACGAGUCUCAAUAGCACUGGAAUCUACCUUCUUCUUCUUGUACCUUUCCUGUGUUGCUGAAUUGCGAGAUGAAGAUUAUGGACGAAUUGAUGCGAUGGUGAUGAAGAUAUUCAAAGAUCGAUACAGGAGAUUGAAGGUUGAAGAGAACCUUGAAGGUUCUUAUGGUGAUUCUUCAGCGAUUGUCCAGAAUCAAGGAUUGAGAGAUUUUUAA